AGUGAACGCUGGCGGUAGGCCUAACACAUGCAAGUCGAACGGCAGCACAGUAAGAGCUUGCUCUUACGGGUGGCGAGUGGCGGACGGGUGAGGAAUACAUCGGAAUCUACUUUUUCGUGGGGGAUAACGUAGGGAAACUUACGCUAAUACCGCAUACGACCUACGGGUGAAAGCAGGGGAUCUUCGGACCUUGCGCGAUUGAAUGAGCCGAUGUAGGAUUAGCUAGUUGGCGGGGUAAAGGCCCACCAAGGCGACGAUCCGUAGCUGGUCUGAGAGGAUGAUCAGCCACACUGGAACUGAGACACGGUCCAGACUCCUACGGGAGGCAGCAGUGGGGUAUAUUGGGCAAUGGUCGCAAGCCUGAUCCAGCCAUACCGCGUGGGUGGAGAAGGCCUUCGGGUUGUAAAGCCCUUUUGUUGGGAAAGAAAAGCAGCAGGUUAAUACCCCGCUGUUCUGACGGUACCCAAAGAAUAAGCACCGGCUAACUUCGUG
rnacentral:rRNA from 1 species